CCUACGGGAGGCAGCAGUGAGGAAUAUUGGUCAAUGGACGAGAGUCUGAACCAGCCAAGUAGCGUGAAGGAUGACUGCCCUAUGGGUUGUAAACUUCUUUUAUAUGGGAAUAAAAUGUUCCACGUGUGGGCUUUUGUGUGUACCAUAUGAAUAAGGAUCGGCUAACUCCGUGCCAGCAGCCGCGGUAAUACGGAGGAUCCGAGCGUUAUCCGGAUUUAUUGGGUUUAAAGGGAGCGUAGGUGGGUUGUUAAGUCAGUUGUGAAAGUUUGCGGCUCAACCGUAAAAUUGCAGUUGACACUGGCAGUCUUGAGUACAGGAGAGGUGGGCGGAAUGCGUGGUGUAGCGGUGAAAUGCUUAGAUAUCACGAAGAACUCCGAUUGCGAAGGCAGCUCACUGGACUGCAACUGACACUGAGGCUCGAAAGUGUGGGUAUCAAACAGGAUUAGAUACCCGGGUAGUC
rnacentral:rRNA from 1 species